UACGAAGGGGACUAGCGUUGUUCGGAAUCACUGGGCGUAAAGCGCACGUAGGCGGAUGUGUCAGUCAGGGGUGAAAUCCCGGGGCUCAACCUCGGAACUGCCUUUGAUACAGCACGUCUCGAGUCCGGAAGAGGUGGGUGGAAUUCCUAGUGUAGAGGUGAAAUUCGUAGAUAUUAGGAGGAACACCGGUGGCGAAGGCGGCCUUCUGGACGGAUACUGACGCUGAGACGCGAAAGCGUGGGGAGCAAACAGG
rnacentral:rRNA from 1 species